UACGGAGGGUGCGAGCGUUAUCCGGAAUCACUGGGUUUAAAGGGUGCGUAGGCGGCUCGGUAAGUCAGUUGUGAAAGCCCCUUGCUUAACGAGGGAGGUGCGAUUGAUACUGUCGAGCUUGAAUCGGGAUGAGGCAGGCGGAAUGUGGCAUGUAGCGGUGAAAUGCAUAGAUAUGCCAUAGAACACCGACUGCGAAGGCAGCCUGCUGGGCCUGUAGUGACCCUGAGGCACGAAAGCGUGGGGAGCAAACAGG
rnacentral:rRNA from 1 species